rnacentral:rRNA from 1 species
UUGAACGCUGGCGGCAGGCCUAACACAUGCAAGUCGAGCGGUAGCACAGAGAGCUUGCUCUCGGGUGACGAGCGGCGGACGGGUGAGUAAUGUCUGGGAAACUGCCUGAUGGAGGGGGAUAACUACUGGAAACGGUAGCUAAUACCGCAUAACGUCGCAAGACCAAAGUGGGGGACCUUCGGGCCUCAUGCCAUCAGAUGUGCCCAGAUGGGAUUAGCUAGUAGGUGGGGUAACGGCUCACCUAGGCGACGAUCCCUAGCUGGUCUGAGAGGAUGACCAGCCACACUGGAACUGAGACACGGUCCAGACUCCUACGGGAGGCAGCAGUGGGGAAUAUUGCACAAUGGGCGCAAGCCUGAUGCAGCCAUGCCGCGUGUGUGAAGAAGGCCUUCGGGUUGUAAAGCACUUUCAGCGGGGAGGAAGGCGAUAAGGUUAAUAACCUUGUCGAUUGACGUUACCCGCAGAAGAAGCACCGGCUAACUCCGUGCCAGCAGCCGCGGUAAUACGGAGGGUGCAAGCGUUAAUCGGAAUUACUGGGCGUAAAGCGCACGCAGGCGGUCUGUCAAGUCGGAUGUGAAAUCCCCGGGCUCAACCUGGGAACUGCAUUCGAAACUGGCAGGCUAGAGUCUUGUAGAGGGGGGUAGAAUUCCAGGUGUAGCGGUGAAAUGCGUAGAGAUCUGGAGGAAUACCGGUGGCGAAGGCGGCCCCCUGGACAAAGACUGACGCUCAGGUGCGAAAGCGUGGGGAGCAAACAGGAUUAGAUACCCUGGUAGUCCACGCCGUAAACGAUGUCGAUUUGGAGGUUGUGCCCUUGAGGCGUGGCUUCCGGAGCUAACGCGUUAAAUCGACCGCCUGGGGAGUACGGCCGCAAGGUUAAAACUCAAAUGAAUUGACGGGGGCCCGCACAAGCGGUGGAGCAUGUGGUUUAAUUCGAUGCAACGCGAAGAACCUUACCUGGUCUUGACAUCCACAGAACUUUCCAGAGAUGGAUUGGUGCCUUCGGGAACUGUGAGACAGGUGCUGCAUGGCUGUCGUCAGCUCGUGUUGUGAAAUGUUGGGUUAAGUCCCGCAACGAGCGCAACCCUUAUCCUUUGUUGCCAGCGGUCCGGCCGGGAACUCAAAGGAGACUGCCAGUGAUAAACUGGAGGAAGGUGGGGAUGACGUCAAGUCAUCAUGGCCCUUACGACCAGGGCUACACACGUGCUACAAUGGCAUAUACAAAGAGAAGCGACCUCGCGAGAGCAAGCGGACCUCAUAAAGUAUGUCGUAGUCCGGAUUGGAGUCUGCAACUCGACUCCAUGAAGUCGGAAUCGCUAGUAAUCGUAGAUCAGAAUGCUACGGUGAAUACGUUCCCGGGCCUUGUACACACCGCCCGUCACACCAUGGGAGUGGGUUGCAAAAGAAGUAGGUAGCUUAACCUUCGGGAGGGCGCUUACCACUUUGUGAUUCAUGACUGGGGUG